UGUCCAGAAGCGAACUUAACAUGUAACCAGUGACGGGGGCGUCCGUUGGGCUCAAAAUCAUAUUGACCAACAAAAGGAAUGAAUUUGAAUUUAAACAGCGUACAUGUGUAAACUCUGCCAGAGACCCUCGCACGACGCGCGACGCGACUGGAGGAAAGUCCUCGCACGACACGCGACGCGACUGGAGGAAAGUCCGCGGGAGGCAGGUGCGCCGUCGCCAGGCAGGUGCGCGCCGCAGGUGACGCACUGCAGUCGUAGCGCCCCAGAGCAGGCUGUCCACAAACACAACGAGCACUGGAGAUAGUGGAAACAAUUUCUCAUCGGUUCGGAGCCGGGGGACCCUUCACCGCCGCCGUACCGCGGAAGACAACUGCGAUUCACAGGAGAAUCGCCCUUCCGUAAGGGCCGCAGGUGCAUCUCGGCUUACACCACCGCGACGUCAUCCGGCAUCACCGCGUUCAGGACUUAAUAACUGGACAUUCGGAGAAUCUAAAGUUGGACUCCAACAUGCGUGCUCUGUAUUCCGUCGUAAACAGGAUAAACAUUCACGAGGAUGGAAGAAGAGAGUUUUGUUGUAUAUGAAACACAUUUAUAAUAUAUUUGUUUAACAUUCAAGAUGUUCUUUGUGAGUUUGUGUACAUGCCAUUUGAAAUAAUAAAGACAGUGCGUGACAUAAAGAUCACGUAUGCACCAUUGUCUUUGUAAAUGUUU